AUACACCCCAGUUCUAAGCAUAAAAUUUCCAUAUCAAGAAGGUUUGAAGAGUUUGCAAACUUGGAGAACCAUUAGGGAUUAUUUUGGAGCUUUCUUAUCAUCCUAAUCUUCAUCUAAAGCUUAUUAAAUCAUUUGCAAAGUUAUGAUACUUAUGUUUAUGUUGAUUAUGUUAAAGUUAUUACGCGCUAAUUGGAUACCCGAACUGCUAGCAUACAUACGGACGCAAACUUGUAACUAAGUGGAUCUUGGUGCAACAAAUUAUGAAGUUUCAAGUUUACUAUGAAGACGAUGUCAUCCGUAUUUUGGAGGGUUUGAUCCAUAUAUCCCGUCUUCGAACGGGACAUAGGAUGCAAAACCUCGUUAUUUCAAAAACUUUAUUUUGAACAAGUCUUGUUUGUAAAACUUAUAAACUUAUGUUGUCUUUUGCUACAAAACAACUUUUGACUUGUAUCUUUACAUUAUGGAAUGGAUGAACAUCG
rnacentral:lncRNA from 1 species